rnacentral:tRNA from 1 species
GGAGAGGUGUCUGAGUGGUCGAAGGUACCCGACUCGAAAUCGGGUGUACCGCAAGGUACCGCGGGUUCGAAUCCCGCCCUCUCCGCCA